rnacentral:rRNA from 1 species
UGGGGAAUAUUGGACAAUGGGGGCAACCCUGAUCCAGCAAUGCCGCGUGUGUGAAGAAGGUCUUCGGAUUGUAAAGCACUUUCGACGGGGACGAUGAUGACGGUACCCGUAGAAGAAGCCCCGGCUAACUUCGUGCCAGCAGCCGCGGUAAUACGAAGGGGGCUAGCGUUGCUCGGAAUGACUGGGCGUAAAGGGCGUGUAGGCGGUUUACACAGUCAGAUGUGAAAUCCCCGGGCUUAACCUGGGAGCUGCAUUUGAUACGUGUAGACUAGAGUGUGAGAGAGGGUUGUGGAAUUCCCAGUGUAGAGGUGAAAUUCGUAGAUAUUGGGAAGAGCACCGGUGGCGAAGGCGGCAACCUGGCUCAUGACUGACGCUGAGGCGCGAAAGCGUGGGGAGCAAACAGGAUUAGAUACCCUGGUAGUCCACGCUGUAAACGAUGUGUGCUAGAUGUUGGGUAACUUUGUUAUUCAGUGUCGCAGUUAACGCGUUAAAGCACACCGCCUGGGGAG